GGCUCUUAAAGGGACCUGGACUCUGAGGCGUAAUUGCCCCGUAGCUAGCACAAAGGAGCCCAUUAUGGUUCUUUGUGUUCAGUGGCACCUCAAAGAUUUUAAAUUUGAGAAGGGGGAGGGGGUCGAGGAGGAGUUUGCAUGUAAAUCUCCUGGGCCUGGUGCUGGAUGAUGGAUCAAUUAUUUUCUGUGGUCUCUCCCGAGGGGUGUCGUGACGGGGGGCCGGGGGGAGGGGAGGCGCACUUAAAAAAAAGAGAAUUGAGUUUAGAAAGCCCCUUUGCUUCACAGUGUGGACCAAAUCCUCACAGUCUGGUGAACCGUUUCUUGCUCCAAUAUAGAAAAGAAGUGUUUUAAACUACAGCAGCAGAAGAAAAUAACAAAAAGAAGGAGUAGGGAGAAGGAAAUAAUGUUCUAAGUAGAUGGAUACAGGGAUCCAGGUUUGACAGGAUUCAAAAAAAAAAUUUUUUUUUUCCGGAUUGAAUGAAAUGAAUAAAGAUGUUCCAGUUCCUUA